rnacentral:rRNA from 1 species
GUGCCAGCCGCGGCGGUAAUACGGAGGGGGCUAGCGUUGUUCGGAAUUACUGGGCGUAAAGCGCACGUAGGCGGAUUGGUAAGUUGGGGGUGAAAUCCCGGGGCUCAACCCCGGAACUGCCUCCAAAACUCCCAGUCUUGAGGUCGAGAGAGGUGAGUGGAAUUCCGAGUGUAGAGGUGAAAUUCGUAGAUAUUCGGAGGAACACCAGUGGCGAAGGCGGCUCACUGGCUCGAUACUGACGCUGAGGUGCGAAAGCGUGGGGAGCAAACGAGGAUUAGAUACCCUGGUAGUCCACGCCGUAAACGAUGAAAUGCCAGUCGUCGGGUUGC